rnacentral:rRNA from 1 species
UACGGGGGGGGCAAGCGUUGUUCGGAAUUACUGGGCGUAAAGGGCUCGUAGGUGGCCAACUAAGUCAGACGUGAAAUCCCUCGGCUUAACCGGGGAACUGCGUCUGAUACUGGAUGGCUUGAGUUUGGGAGAGGGACGCGGAAUUCCAGGUGUAGCGGUGAAAUGCGUAGAUAUCAAGCGGAACACCGGUGGCGAAGGCGGCCUUCUGGACGAUGACUGACGCUGAGACGCGAAAGCGUGGGGAGCAAACAGG